UACGGAGGGGGCUAGCGUUGUUCGGAAUUACUGGGCGUAAAGCGCACGUAGGCGGCUUUACAAGUCAGGGGUGAAAGCCCGCGGCUCAACCGCGGAAUUGCCCUUGAGACUGUAUCGCUUGAACACGGGAGAGGUGAGUGGAAUUCCGAGUGUAGAGGUGAAAUUCGUAGAUAUUCGGAAGAACACCAGUGGCGGAGGCGACUCGCUGGACAGGUAUUGACGCUGAGGUGCGAAAGCGUGGGGAGCAAACAGG
rnacentral:rRNA from 1 species